AUUGAACGCUGGCGGCAUGCCUUACACAUGCAAGUCGAACGGCAGCACGGGGCAACCUGGUGGCGAGUGGCGAACGGGUGAGUAAUGCAUCGGAACGUACCUUUCAGUGGGGGAUAACGUAGCGAAAGUUACGCUAAUACCGCAUAUUCUGUGAGCAGGAAAGCAGGGGAUCGCAAGACCUUGCGCUGAUUGAGCGGCCGAUGUCAGAUUAGCUAGUUGGUGAGGUAAAGGCUCACCAAGGCGACGAUCUGUAGCGGGUCUGAGAGGAUGAUCAACCACACUGGAACUGAGACACGGUCCAGACUCCUACGGGAGGCAGCAGUGGGGAAUUUUGGACAAUGGGGGCAACCCUGAUCCAGCCAUGCCGCGUGAGUGAAGAAGGCCUUCGGGUUGUAAAGCUCUUUCGGCCGGGAAGAAAUCGCACGGGCUAAUACCCUGUGUGGAUGACGGUACCGGAAUAAGAAGCACCGGCUAACUACGUGCCAGCCGCCGCCGUAAUAC
rnacentral:rRNA from 1 species